AUUGCCAAUUCUGGAGUUAAACCCCUUAUUCUGGACGAAGAAACCUUGAAAGAAAUCUUUUCCCAAUUUCAGCCAGCUUUCAAGAGCAUAGGUGAAUAGAGAAGACGGGAGUCUACGAUCGCAGUUAUAGAUACGCGAACAAAGCCAGUGGAAUUAUCUGAAUUAAUGAAAAGGUUUGAUGUCAGGCCAGUGUGACUUGAUAGCAAAACGAGCGAGACUAAUAAAUUCACUUCGGAGGAUUGAGUAAAAAUUCCGUAAAAACUCUAGAAAAAAAAAUCCGUAGAAAC